CACUUUGUCUUUAAUGGCAAAUGUGAGAUGCAGUGUAUGGAAUGUCAAAUUUCUAGUAUGAGAAAUUAACGAUUUAAGUCCUUCUUAAAUGAGGCCAUUUACCCAUAGAGGGUGCCAGGCCCGUAUAACGUUAAUGAUUACUAGAUGACAUUUCCAAAGAGUCGUGUUGCUUGAUAGUGCAGCACUAAGUGGGUGGUAAACUCCAUCUAAAACUAAAUAUAACCAUGAGACCGAUAGCAAACAAGUACCGUGAGGGAAAGUUGAAAAGAACUCUGAAUAGAGAGUUAAAUAGUACGUGAAACUGCUUAGAGGUUAAGCCCGAUGAACCUGAAUAUCCAUUAUAGAAAAUUCAUCAUUAUGACUUUAAUAUUUUUUAAUAUUAUAAUAAUAGUGUGCAUUUUUUCUAUAAAGGACAUUGUAAUCUAUUAACAUAAAUAAAUUUAUCAAAAAAUCUUUUGCGUUAGUUUAUUCAAAUUAUUUUGCUUGCAAUUUAACAUAGAAUAAAUGCAUUGGAUUUGAUAAAGUGUUGAUAGAUUUAUUAUAUAUGGUGCUUGAAUAUAAUUUUUAUAUUCUAUAAUAGUAUAUUAAUUAAUAAUUUUUAUAUAUAUUUUAUGCACUUAUAUGAUUAACAAUGCGAAAGAUUCAGGAUACCUUCGGGACCCGUCUUGAAACACGGACCAAGGAGUCUAACAUAUUUGCAAGUUAUUGGGAAUAAAAACCUAAUAGCGAAAUUAACAUAACUUAAAUUAAUUGGGAUUAGUUUUUAAACUAUUUAUAGUUUAUUAAUUCAAUCCCGGGGCGUUCUAUUGUUAUGUAUAGUAAUAUUUAUAUUAUUUAUACCUCUAACUGGAGCGUACCUUGAGCAUAUAUGCUGUGACCCGAAAGAUGGUGAACUAUACUUGAUCAGGUUGAAGUCAGGGGAAACCCUGAUGGAAGACCGAAACAGUUCUGACGUGCAAAUCGAUUGUCAGAAUUGAGUAUAGGGGCGAAAGACCAAUCGAACCAU
rnacentral:rRNA from 1 species